rnacentral:ncRNA from 1 species
CACCGCUUGGUGAAAAUAUUGCCGUCAGGACAGGGUUUAGUAAGCCGAAAGGAUUUGAAAGACCUUGCAGGCAAACAAGGAC